UACCAGCAGUGAGCGAUGACGAAUGUCAUCUACAAUGUCAUCGAGGCGUUGACGCCAGCCAAAUCGAACCCUUUGUUUUUUCUUUUGUUUCUUUCUUUUCCGCGCGUGCCGAACGUAAUUCGGUUCUGCCGACCGUGCGCAGUAGCAGAGAACUUCGUUUUAUCUUUUCGUCUUCUUUGCGCCUGCGUCGACAGAACUCUUUUGCUUUGUUCUUUGCUAUUUGCAAUCGUCACACGGAGUUUUAAUAAGUGAAAAUAAGUAAUCUGUGAUUAUUAUUAUUAUCAGCGGCGGUGAAGAUGAAAAUACCCGACGAGCCAGCAGAAAAAGUGAUUCGGAAGGCUAUUCACAACAUUAAGAAUAGUCAUUUUCAGAAGA